GAUAAACGCUGGCGGCGCACAUAAGACAUGCAAGUCGAACGAACUUAAUUGAGAGCUUGCUCUCAAAGCGGUUAGUGGCGGACUGGUGAGUAACACGUAAGCAACCUGCCUAUUAGAGGGGAAUAACAGCGAGAAAUCGUUGCUAAUACCGUAUAUGCUGUGAGUAUCGCAUGAUACAAGCAGGAAAGGAGUAAUCCGCUAAUAGAUGGGCUUGCGUCUGAUUAGUUAGUUGGUGGGGUAACGGCCUACCAAGACGAUGAUCAGUAGCCGGACUGAGAGGUUGAACGGCCACAUUGGGACUGAGAUACGGCCCAGACUCCUACGGGAGGCAGCAGUCGGGAAUAUUGCGCAAAUGGAGGAAAACUCUGACGCAGUGACGCCCG
rnacentral:rRNA from 1 species